rnacentral:lncRNA from 1 species
CUAGUAUUUAUAUUUUAAAGCAUUUCGCGAAUUGUAUCUAAGAAUUAUUUACAUUCAAGUUUCAUUAUUUUGUAUUGAUUAAGAAAUUUUGAAAAGUCUUCAAAACAAGAGAUUAUUUAGUCAGUUUCAGAAGUUUUUUUCAACUAUCGCAAGUUGAAGUUGAGAAAUCUUCUCUCACGCUGCCCAAAAGAUCCAUUGCUUCAAUUUACGAGAUUUAUAAUGGUUCUAUCGACUGACGAAAAGCUUGUAAGGAAGUGUCUUAAAUGGUUCUAAGGAAGGGUCUGUUGUCGCUAAAAUCAACGCCACUGUGAUUUAUUUGAAAGGACAUAUCUGAACAUAGUAAUAACAAAAUUUUAGCUGCUAUGGACAACAUGGACAAAAAUAUACGAAGCCAAUCAAACAUAGGAUACGGUAUCAAAAUUUAGUGAUAUUCAACCUAUCAUUGUUGUUGAAGUUUAUGUUACUGCUGAAAAAUAUAUGACAGGUAAAAAUUUCGAGUAAAUUACUUUUGACGGA